rnacentral:lncRNA from 1 species
AUCCAAACAAUUCGGCUAAUAACCUAAACACAUAUAUCCUCAUCAAGAAUGUUAGUCACAAAACUCACAUGAAUAUCAAGAAACAUGUAUUAGCUCAUCAAUAUUUAAUUUCCGCAUACAAGUAUUUAUCAUUUCAAGUAUCCAUGAACAUGUACAUAUCAUAUCUUUGUAUUUCAAGUACUUCUUAUAGUAAUUCAUCUUCAAUUCAUAUCAUCUCAUAUCAGAACUUUACCCGUUGAAUUAUUUAAAAUAUCAAUGGAUACAAGGGUAGUGCACAUGAAGUGUACGAAUUGUAAUUCGCCAAUUCAUAUUCGGGAGUACUC